UUGAACUAGCAGAUACUGGUUGUGUCUUGGAUGAUCAGAGACAGGUUGUGUGUUGGAUGAUCAGAUACUGGUUGUGUGUUGGACUAGCAGAUACUGGUUGUGUGUUGGACUAGCAGAUACUGGUUGUGUGUUGGACUAGCAGAUACUGGUUGUGUCUUUGAUGAUCAGAGACAGGUUGUGUGUUGGAUGAUCAGAGACAGGUUAUGUGUUGGACUAGCAGAUACUGGUUGUGUGUUGGACUAGCAGAUACUGGUUGUGUCUUGGAUGAUCAGAGACAGGUUGUGUGUUGGACUAGCAGAUACAGGUUGUGUGUUGGACUAGCAGAUACUAGUUGUGUCUUUGAUGAUCAGAGACAGGUUAUGUGUUGGAUGAUCAGAUACAGGUUGUGUGUUUGACUAGCAGAUACUGGUUAUGUGUUGGAUGAUCAGAUACAGGUUGUGUGUUGGACUAGCAGAUACAGGUUGUGUGUUGGACUAGCAGAUACUGGUUGUGUCUUGGAUGAUCAGAUACAGGUUGUGUGUUGGAUGAUCAGAUACAGGUUGUGUGUUGGAUGAUCAGAUACAGGUUGUGUGUUGGACUAGCAGAUACUGGUUAUGUGUUGGACUAGCAGAUACUGGUUGUGUGUUGGACUAGCAGAUACUGGUUGUGUCUUGGACUAGCAGAUACUGGUUGUGUCUUGGAUGAUCAGAGACAGGUUGUGUGUUGGACUAGCAGAUACUGGUUGUGUGUUGGACUAGCAGAUACUGGUUGUGUGUUGGACUAGCAGAUACUGGUUGUGUCUUGGAUGAUCAGAUACUGGUUGUGUGUUGGACUAGCAGAUACUGGUUGUGUCUUGGAUGAUCAGAUACUGGUUGUGUGUUGGACUAGCAGAUACUGGUUGUGUGUUGGACUAGCAGAUACUGGUUGUGUCUUGGAUGAUCAGAGACAGGUUGUGUGUUGGACUAGCAGAUACUGGUUAUGUGUUGGACUAGCAGAUACUGGUUGUGUGUUGGACUAGCAGAUACUGGUUGUGUCUUGGACUAGCAGAUACUGGUUGUGUCUUGGAUGAUCAGAGACAGGUUGUGUGUUGGACUAGCAGAUACUGGUUGUGUGUUGGAUGAGCAGAUACUGGUUAUGUGUUGGACUAGCAGAUACUGGUUGUGUGUUGGACUAGCAGAUACUGGUUGUGUGUUGGACUAGCAGAUACUGGUUGUGUUUUGGACUAGCAGAUACUGGUUGUGUCUUUGAUGAUCAGAGACAGGUUGUGUGUUGGACAAGCAGAUACUGGUUGUGUCUUGGAUGAUCAGAUACUGGUUGUGUGUUGGACUAGCAGAUACUGGUUAUGUGUUGGACUAGCAGAUACUGGUUGUGUCUUGGAUGAUCAGAUACUGGUUGUGUGUUGGACUAGCAGAUACUGGUUGUGUGUU
rnacentral:sRNA from 1 species